rnacentral:rRNA from 1 species
GAGAGCUUGCUCUCUGAUUCAGCGGCGGACGGGUGAGUAAUGCCUAGGAAUCUGCCUGGUAGUGGGGGACAACGUUUCGAAAGGAACGCUAAUACCGCAUACGUCCUACGGGAGAAAGCAGGGGACCUUCGGGCCUUGCGCUAUCAGAUGAGCCUAGGUCGGAUUAGCUAGUUGGUGAGGUAAUGGCUCACCAAGGCGACGAUCCGUAACUGGUCUGAGAGGAUGAUCAGUCACACUGGAACUGAGACACGGUCCAGACUCCUACGGGAGGCAGCAGUGGGGAAUAUUGGACAAUGGGCGAAAGCCUGAUCCAGCCAUGCCGCGUGUGUGAAGAAGGUCUUCGGAUUGUAAAGCACUUUAAGUUGGGAGGAAGGGUUGUAGAUUAAUACUCUGCAAUUUUGACGUUACCGACAGAAUAAGCACCGGCUAACUCUGUGCCAGCAGCCGCGGUAAUACAGAGGGUGCAAGCGUUAAUCGGAAUUACUGGGCGUAAAGCGCGCGUAGGUGGUUUGUUAAGUUGGAUGUGAAAGCCCCGGGCUCAACCUGGGAACUGCAUUCAAAACUGACAAGCUAGAGUAUGGUAGAGGGUGGUGGAAUUUCCUGUGUAGCGGUGAAAUGCGUAGAUAUAGGAAGGAACACCAGUGGCGAAGGCGACCACCUGGACUGAUACUGACACUGAGGUGCGAAAGCGUGGGGAGCAAACAGGAUUAGAUACCCUGGUAGUCCACGCCGUAAACGAUGUCAACUAGCCGUUGGGAGCCUUGAGCUCUUAGUGGCGCAGCUAACGCAUUAAGUUGACCGCCUGGGGAGUACGGCCGCAAGGUUAAAACUCAAAUGAAU